GAUGAACGCUGGCGGCGUGCCUAAUACAUGCAAGUCGAGCGAACAGACGAGGAGCUUGCUCCUCUGACGUUAGCGGCGGACGGGUGAGUAACACGUGGAUAACCUACCUAUAAGACUGGGAUAACUUCGGGAAACCGGAGCUAAUACCGGAUAACAUGUUGAACCGCAUGGUUCAACAGUGAAAGACGGUCUUGCUGUCACUUAUAGAUGGAUCCGCGCCGCAUUAGCUAGUUGGUAAGGUAACGGCUUACCAAGGCAACGAUGCGUAGCCGACCUGAGAGGGUGAUCGGCCACACUGGAACUGAGACACGGUCCAGACUCCUACGGGAGGCAGCAGUAGGGAAUCUUCCGCAAUGGGCGAAAGCCUGACGGAGCAACGCCGCGUGAGUGAUGAAGGUCUUCGGAUCGUAAAACUCUGUUAUUAGGGAAGAAGAAAUGUGUAAGUAACUAUGCACGUCUUGACGGUACCUAAUCAGAAAGCCACGGCUAACUACGUG
rnacentral:rRNA from 1 species